rnacentral:rRNA from 1 species
UACGUAGGGGGCGAGCGUUGUCCGGAUUUACUGGGCGUAAAGCGCUCGUAGGCGGUUUGAUAAGUCGGCUGUGAAACCUCCAGGCUUAACCUGGAGUCGCCAGUUGAUACUGUCAUGACUAGAAUCCGGUAGGGGACCAUGGAAUUCCUGGUGUAGCGGUGAAAUGCGCAGAUAUCAGGAGGAACACCAGUAGCGAAGGCGGUGGUCUGGGCCGGUAUUGACGCUGAGGAGCGAAAGCGUGGGGAGCGAACAGG